GUCGAGAAUCUUUCACAAUGGGGGCAACCCUGAUGGAGCGACGCCGCGUGGAGGAUAAGGUCUUCGGAUUGUAAACUCCUGUCAUGCGUGAACAAGGUUGCUUGGUUAAUACCUGGGCAAAUUGAUGGUAACGCAAGAGGAAGAGACGGCUAACUCUGUGCCAGCAGCCGCGGUAAUACAGAGGUCCCAAGCGUUGUUCGGAAUCACUGGGCGUAAAGGGUGCGUAGGUGGCGUGGUAAGUCAGAUGUGAAAGCCCGGGGCUCAACCUCGGAACUGCAUCCGAUACUGCCAUGCUAGAGUACUGGAGAGGUGACUAGAAUUCUCGGUGUAGCAGUGAAAUGCGUAGAUAUCGAGAGGAAUACCAAAGGCGUAGGCAGGUCACUGGACAGUUACUGACACUGAGGCACGAAGGCCAGGGGAGCGAACGGGAUUAGAUACCCUAGUAGUCC
rnacentral:rRNA from 1 species